rnacentral:rRNA from 1 species
UACAGAGGCCUCGAGCGUAAUCGGAAUCACUGGGCUUAAAGGGUGCGUAGGCGGCGCUGCAAGUGCCUUGUGAAAUCCCAUCGCUUAACGAUGGAACUGCUCGGUAGACUGCAGUGCUUGAGAUUGGUAGGGGCUGCCGGAACUCUAGGUGGAGCGGUGAAAUGCGUAGAUAUCGUGAGGAAGACCAGUGGCGAAGGCGGGUCUCUGGACAGUUCCUGACGCUGAGGCGCGAAGGCCAGGGGAGCAAACGGG